UACGGAGGGUGCAAGCGUUAUCCGGAUUCACUGGGUUUAAAGGGUGCGUAGGUGGGCAGGGAAGUCAGUGGUGAAAUCUCCGGGCUUAACUCGGAAACUGCCGUUGAUACUAUCUGUCUUGAAUAUCGUGGAGGUUAGCGGAAUAUGUCAUGUAGCGGUGAAAUGCUUAGAUAUGACAUAGAACACCGAUUGCGAAGGCAGCUAACUACACGAUCAUUGACACUGAGGCACGAAAGCGUGGGGAGCAAACAGG
rnacentral:rRNA from 1 species